rnacentral:rRNA from 1 species
UCGUGUCAGGACGAACGCUGGCGGCGUGCCUAACACAUGCAAGUCGAGCGGGGACAUUACGACGGAUAUGAAGUUUCGGAUGGAUUUGAAGAUGCAAUGUUCUAGCGGCGGACGGGUGAGUAACGCGUGAGCAACCUGUCCCUUACAGGGGGAUAACACAGCGAAAGUUGUACUAAUACCGCAUAAGACCACAGAGUCACAUGGCUUAGGGGUCAAAGGAGCAAUCCGGUAAGGGGUGGGCUCGCGUCCGAUUAGAUAGUUGGUGAGGUAACGGCCCACCAAGUCGACGAUCGGUAGCCGACCUGAGAGGGUGAUCGGCCACAUUGGGACUGAGACACGGCCCAAACUCCUACGGGAGGCAGCAGUGGGGAAUAUUGGGCAAAUGGGGGAAACCCUGACCCAGCAACGCCGCGUGAGGGAAGAAGGUUUUCGGGUCGUAAACCUCUGUCCUUGGUGAAGAGAGAGAGACGGUAGCCAAGGAGGAAGCCCCGGCUAACUACGUGCCAGCCGCGGC